UAGGGAAUCUUCGGCAAUGGGGGGAACCCUGACCGAGCAACGCCGCGUGAGUGAAGAAGGUUUUCGGAUCGUAAAGCUCUGUUGUUAAGGAAGAACGAGUGUGAGAAUGGAAAGUUCAUACUGUGACGGUACUUAACCAGAAAGGGACGGCUAACUACGUGCCAGCAGCCGCGGUAAUACGUAGGUCCCGAGCGUUGUCCGGAUUUAUUGGGCGUAAAGCGAGCGCAGGCGGUUAGAUAAGUCUGAAGUUAAAGGCAGUGGCUCAACCAUUGUAGGCUUUGGAAACUGUUUAACUUGAGUGCAGAAGGGGAGAGUGGAAUUCCAUGUGUAGCGGUGAAAUGCGUAGAUAUUAAAAAGAAUACCGGUGGCGAAGGCGACUUACUGGGCUCAUUCUGACGCUGAGGAACGAAAGCGUGGGUAGCAAACAGG
rnacentral:rRNA from 1 species